rnacentral:rRNA from 1 species
UACGGAGGAUCCAAGCGUUAUCCGGAAUCAUUGGGUUUAAAGGGUGCGUAGGUGGGUCUGUAAGUCAGUGGUGAAAUCUCCGAGCUUAACUCGGAAACUGCCAUUGAUACUAUAGGUCUUGAAUUAUCUGGAGGUAAGCGGAAUAUGUCAUGUAGCGGUGAAAUGCUUAGAUAUGACAUAGAACACCAAUUGCGAAGGCAGCUUACUACGGAUAUAUUGACACUGAGGCACGAAAGCGUGGGGAUCAAACAGG